UACGUAGGGUGCAAGCGUUAAUCGGAAUUACUGGGCGUAAAGCGUGCGCAGGCGGUUUUGUAAGUCUGUCGUGAAAUCCCCGGGCUUAACCUGGGAAUGGCGAUGGAGACUGCAAGGCUAGAGUUUGGCAUAGGGGGGUAGAAUUCCACGUGUAGCAGUGAAAUGCGUAGAGAUGUGGAGGAACACCGAUGGCGAAGGCAGCCCCCUGGGUCAAAACUGACGCUCAUGCACGAAAGCGUGGGGAGCAAACAGG
rnacentral:rRNA from 1 species